AUUGAACGCUGGCGGCAGGCUUAACACAUGCAAGUCGAGCGGGGUGAUGGUGCUUGCACUAUCACUUAGCGGCGGACGGGUGAGUAAUGCUUAGGAAUCUGCCUAUUAGUGGGGGACAACAUCUCGAAAGGGAUGCUAAUACCGCAUACGUCCUACGGGAGAAAGCAGGGGAUCACUUGUGACCUUGCGCUAAUAGAUGAGCCCAAGUCGGAUUAGCUAGUUGGUGGGGUAAAGGCCUACCAAGGCGACGAUCUGUAGCGGGUCGGAGAGGAUGAUCCGCCACACUGGGACUGAGACACGGCCCAGACUCCUACGGGAGGCAGCAGUGGGGAAUAUUGGGCAAUGGGGGGAACCCUGAUCCAGCCAUGCCGCGUGUGUGAAGAAGGCCUUAUGGUUGUAAAGCACUUUAAGCGAGGAGGAGGCUCUUUUGGUUAAUACCCAAGAUGAGUGGACGUUACUCGCAGAAUAAGCACCGGCUAACUCUGUGCCAGCAGCCGCCGUAA
rnacentral:rRNA from 1 species